rnacentral:lncRNA from 1 species
CACAAAGUGUAAACAUGGACCAAAGGAGAAGCCCUUUGGAGAAGAAGACGCCAAAGGGAAAGGGAAAAGUUCAGAAGGGCAGAAAGCAUUCAACUCUGCAACACUGUCAUCAUAUUCCACUUAUCAAAAAGUGAAUCCUGAGGACUGAAAUAAUUUGCAGAUGUGGUGGAGGAGCCGUUGCCAGCAACUCUGAGACCUGGGAAGAGGCUGGAGACUCCAGGCAGCCAAGGGAGAGGCUUCCUAAAGUCGAUGCGAGAGCCUGGCAGGCUGACUGGUGGAAUAGUUCUCAGUGGAUGCGGACCUCGGAAAGAUAUCGGGGCUCAUCUGAGAGCGAGAAGUCUUCAUUCUCCCAGGUCUGCGUUUCCUUCCAGCCCCUCAUGCAACUCACAUAAAAAUAGGGGCUCGGAGAGAUUCGAUCCUGCGCACCAUACAGCGAGUGGCCUGAUGUUACCCAUGACUGAAUUGCAUCUGCAGAAAGCAAGUUUGGACAUCUAAAAAGGGCCAUUUGGGGCGGGGGAUUUGGCUCAGUGGUUCCCCCACAGCCUGCCUCCCAAGCAUGAGGUCCAGAGUUCGAUCCCCGGUACCAAAAAAAGAAAAUAAAAAGGGCCACGUAUCUGUUGAAUUGAACUGAGAUGUGAGAAAUUUCGCUGUAAACUAAUAACUAUUGUUAUUAUUCUAUAAUAUUUUGAGUGUUUACUAAGGGCUCUUUUCUAAGCCUUUAAGGUACAUUAUUCAGUUAAGCUUUUACAAAUAAAGAAACUGAGGUUCAAGGAUAUCCAGCUAGGAAGUGGCAAAGGCAAGAUUUGCAUCCAGGGCCCCCCCCCAAAAAAUUUAAAAAUUAAGUAGCUGGGCCUGGGGGGGGGGUCCACGCCUAUAAUCUGAGUACUCUGGGAGGCCAAAGCAAGAGGAUCGCUGAGAGUUGGAGGCCAGCCUGAAUUACAGAGCAAGACCCUGUCUCAAAACAGCAAACCAAAAAAAAAAAAAUUAAAGAAAAAAGAAAAAAAGAUUUGUACCCAGCAAACUGACUCCAGGCCACUCUGUUAACCUUUAUAAAUAAACUUAAAAUAGAGAGAGGAAGUCUCCCAUAUUAGAACUUAACAUUUGUUCCCCUUCCUCUGUUAGAUUUUUAAAUAUUACACAUCAAAUACGACAUACUACUCAGCUCCUGAUUUCAAAGUUUCUUCCUAUUAAGGACUGGUUAUCACCCCGAUCUUUUUCUUCUUUCUUUUUUCUCUGUGCUCUACUUCCUCAACACUCUUCCUUUAACCCAAGUGGCUGUCUCAGACCAGGAAGAUUAAGAAGCCAUGAAUAACUCUUCUGUAAAUUAUUCUACAGGAAGUUCAGCCUGAUCCAAUCCAGCUUGUCAGUGGUGAAGGCUUUGUCAGGGGUUUCUCAGCAGAGCAGGACUGGGUCAGCUCCUGCUGGCCCCCUCCUUGUGCAAGAGACCCUGCAGGAAGUGCUUAAACCGCAAUCUUAAACCAUGAGUCAUUGAUCAACUCCCCUACUUUUUUAUUUUGAGGCAAAGCCUCACUACAUUGUUAAAUUGCCAAGACUGGGCUGGAACUUGAGGUCUUCCUACCUCAGUCUCCCGGAGUGCUGGGAUUACAGGUGUCCACCACCAUGCUAGACUCCUAUUUUUUGUUUGUUUAUUUAUUUUAUUUGUUUUGUGUUUUUUGGAGACAGGGUCUCACUGUGUAGUUCAGGCUGGCUUUGAACUCACUAUGUGGCCCAGGCUGGCCUCAAACUCAUAUCAAUCUUCCUGCCUCAGCCUCCCGAGUGCUGGGAUUACAGGUAUGUGCCACCACACCUGGCUCCAAAUUUUUAUAUUCCAUUAUUAUUUUUUUAAUUGUUCCCAGGGAAUAACUCCAGGGCCUCAUACAUGCUGGGCAAGCACUCUACCACUGAGGUAUACCGCAAAGCCCACUAUAUAUUACUUUUUUUUCUUUCAGUACCGGGGAUUGAACUCAGGUCCUUGCGCUUUUGAGGCAGGCAGCAUAACCACUGAGCUAAAUCCUCAGCCCCUAACUAUAUAUUACUGAAUCUCUGCUGUGUGAUGGGAGGAAAAAAGGGAGGAGAGCAGUUUUCCAGUGCUUCCUAGUGUGAGUACUGUGUUAACGAUGUGUGCUGAGCUGCAGCCACAGUGCCUAUAAAUGAAGGAGUCCUGCAGGCCGGAGUGACUCUGCCCCUUCCCACCAGUGUGACUCUGAGAAGUCCCUUAACUUCUCUGUGCCUCAGUUUCCCCAUUAGUAAGGAGCAAAAUAAUAACUCUGCAUAUGUGCAUGAUACACAGUGUUGUUUUAUAUGUUACAAAAUCACAUACAGUGCAUAUACAUAUGUACAUGUAUGUAAUAUGUACCAGUAAGCAGAACAUGUAAUGUGUACACGUGCAGCAUAUAUAUUUAUAGUAAAUAGUAACAUAUAAGGACUAUUGUGGUUUUUAUUCUUUUUUUAUUAGUAUGUGUUUGCAAUCCAAAAUAAUUACGUUCAUCUUGGGGAAAUGGUACAUGCAUAUAUCAAAAUGAUUGUGUUGAUAUUUAACCAUUUCAGUAUUGUAUUCCAAUAUAUAAUGACUAUUAUGCUGCAGUAUUUUUCUAUUAUAUAAUAGAUAUUUAUAUAUUAGAAAACAUAAUACAAAAUACAAUAUACCUAAUAAUAAGAUAGAUAAAUAUCUGUCAUAUUAAAUAUGUAAACCUUGUAGUAUCUGCCAUAGAGCAAUGACAGUUAAUGUUUCUUCUUCUCAUUAUUAGCCAUUCUUUUUUUUUUUUUUUUUUUUUGGUACUGGGGAUUGAACUCAGGUCCUUGUGCUUGCGCAGCAGGCGGCGAAACCACUGAGCUAAAUCCCCAGCCUCUUCUCAUUAUUAUCGUGGUAGUUUUAUUUUAUUUGUUUUGCUGAGCCAGGAAUUGAACUCAGGACCUUGCACUUGCAAGGCAGGCACAGUGCCACUGAGCUAAAUCCCCAGCCCUUCUUCUCAUUAUUAUCAUUAGCACUGACAGACCAGAGUGCCCUAACCUCACUAACUACCCCAUGCUGCUGGAAAUGGACCCUCACACUUGGAGAAGUCCUGGUCCCAGCUGUAAUCCUUAUAUAGCUUUUUUUUUUUUCAGAGACAGGGUCUCACUUUUUAACUUAUUAUGUACCCAGACUAGCUUUGAACUUGCAGCAAUCCUCUUGCCUCAGCUUCCCAAGUGCUACGAAUUAUAUGUGUGCACUACCAUCCACAGCUCAAAUAAAAAAAUUUUUUCAAAUAAAAAUAUUUUUAGGGCCGGGGAUUUAGCUCAGUGGUUCCAGUGCCUGCUUCACAAGGGAAAAGUUCUGAGUUCGAUCCCCGGUACCAAAAAAAAAAAAAUUGAUUCCAAAAAUAUUUUUUAAAGGGAUGGGGAUGUAGCUCAGUGUGAAGGCUCUGGGUUCAAUUCCAAACACCAAACGAAAAAGAAUAAUAAGAAGAAAAUAAAACAGCCUUGACCACAAUUUCCAGUCUCACGCACCUCCCUAGAAAUAACUACUUUUGAAAACUUGAGGUAACUCUUUCUAGAAUUCUUUGUAUGCAUUUACACAGAUGUAUAUGUAAUCAUAAAAAGUAUAUAGGAAUCCCUGUAAUCCCAGCAAUUGGGAGGCUAAGUCAGGAGGAUUGCCAUGAGUUCAAGGCCAGCCUGAGCUCCAUAGUGAGUUCAAGGCCAGCCUGUACUACAUAGUGAGACCCUGUCUCAAGAAACAAACAAACAAACAAAAACCCCUAUAACAUCAUAGCCCACACUUUUGCACACACCUGUAAUUCCAGCAUUUAGGCAGCUGAGACAGAUUGAGAAUUUCAGGCCAGCCUGAGCUGCAAAGAAACCCUGUUCCGAAACAAAAACCAUAACAUUGUAAUCCAGUGUCACAUAACAUAACAAUGACAAAGAAACAAAGUGGCAAAUGCUUGGGUUUGCCAGUCACGGGUUCCUGGGCCCAAACUUGCCUCUUUCCUGGGAGGAACACAGCUUCCCACAGGAGGACGAUCAACCCUCCAGCUGCUGAGUUUCAGGAAGUGGCUCCCAGGUCACAAGAGCCCCUGUCAGGGCAUUAGCACUUGUUCGCACUCUCUCCAGCGCACAGCCAGGAACCUACUAAUUCCCUCUUUCAUUAAGGCCAAUCAUCAUCAUCAUUAAUUAACAGCCACUGUGGAAAUGUAAGAGAGGGUUCUGAAUCAAAGAUAGAAACCAGUAGAAGGAAACAAUCCCAGCUGGCUCAGAACCCUGCGGGCCAGGAACACAGGCCCAUGGACCAUGAGAGGACAGGAGGAUGUGUGGGACCCGAGGAAAGGCGAGGGACCUCCCUCUCCGUGCUGCAUGUGGGAUGGGCUGACCCGUGUCUAAGACUGUCGCUGACUGCGUGCGAUAUUCUACCGUUUUCCCCAGGCUAUUCUGCUUUUGCCAUUAAAAAAUAGUUCAAUUUGUUCUCUUGUCUGGAAAACAAUGGUGUACUGACAUCAGUUUAUAUAUAUGGUAUAUCGCCAAUUCCACCCAUGGCAUUGUUCUGGCCUCACUGUUGGGACAUCAGGGGUCCUAGGAAGCAACAUCCUCUUCCUCACUUGAACUCAGGGUAGACUGAAAAGUCCCCAGUGAAGUUGAUUAGAUUCUGUGGCUUUCCAUGAGUGGAAAAGAAGCUCGUCACCACCCUGGGUGUGGGUGACCUCAUUCACCACGUGAACGACCCAGUGAGAAGCCCUUGGUAGAGGGGAACUGGGACUCCUUAGACCCUGAAUCUGAGGACACCUGAUCUUGGGCUCCCCAGCUCCGCAACAGUAAGGAGAAAUAAGUAAUAAAUGUUCAUUGUUCACGAGCCCCCUGGUUGGUGGUGUUUGGUGACAGCAACCUAUGUCACUCAGCUUUCGGUCACUGUGACAAGAACGCCUGAGAUGAUCAGCUGACAAGGAGGACAACUGUACUGCGCCUCAGUGCCAGAGGGCUCAGUCCAUGGUCACUUGGGCCUGUGGUGACACAGUAUGUGACAGCAGGAGCACGUGGCAGUGGAGGCUGGGAGGCAGAGACAGACAGGAAGGGGCCCACAAUGACCUAACUUCCUCUCACUCGGGCUCCCUCCUUCCCUCCUCUCCCCUUUCCUCUCCUAGGACCUAGAGCCUCAUGCAUGCUUGGCAGGAGCUCUACUAAUAAGCUACAUCCCCACAACUUUUUUUUUUUUUGGUACUGGGCAUUGAACUCGGGUCCUUGUGCUUGCACAGCCACAACUUUUUAUUUCUUUUUUUUUUUCACCCAAGGCAAGGCUUUAUUGGGAAAGAGCUACCAGGCUGCCUCGAACAAUGGUGAGUUAAUUCACAUUUUGAGACAAGGUCAAGCUAAGAUGUCUAGGGCAGCCCCAAAAUUGAGUUCUUCCUGCUUUAGCCUCCCAAGUUGUGGCUCUCCUCCUCCUCCUCCUCCUUUUUUUUUUCCUGGACUUAUUUUGGGAUCUUUCUGCCUCAGCUUCCCAGAGUACUGGGAUUACAGUCAUGCACCACAGCACCCAGAGAGCCCAUCUCUUAAAGGUCCUAAGGGCCGGGGAUUUAGCUCAGUGGUUCCGCUGCCUGCUUUGCAAGCACAAGGUCCCGAGUUCGAUCCCCGGUACCAAAAAAAAAAAAAUUUAAAGCCAUUAAAGGUCCUACUACUCCAUAGGGCCACAGGCUGGCAACCAAGCCUUCAACAUGUAGGCCUUGAAAGACACUCAAGAUCUGAGCUAUAGCACAACCAAGAUUCCCUCUGAGAGAGACAGGCAUUUCUCACCUCACACAAGAGCCGCAAUGGGCACUACUGUAAAAUAGUGUGCUGCUAUGCCAGUGGUAGCCUCAUGUAUCUCAUGUUUAACUGCAUAUUUGGAUAAUCUCAAGGGGCCAUCACAGAUGACUGACGUGUACCUUCUCAGUUUGCACUUAGAAGUUGGCACACUGUGUGGUACUUGGCGAUACACAUGGAUGAAAUUGCCUAAUAACAUAUUUCUCAGAUUAUAUUUCCAUUACAUGUCACAUGACUGUAUUGAAAUUUAAAUCAAAAAACAUUUGGCCUAUGUGGAGUCUACUAGUUAAUUAGAAUUUUUUCCAGACCACUAUUUGUCCAAUAUUAGUUUUGAAAAUCUUUCUAAAAUAAAUCACAUCUUCUGAUGUCUCGUUAAUGCUUAAGAUUUUUUUUUUAAUUAUGUGGAAAAAUGUUUAAGUACUUUUCAGUUUUACUUUGGUUGAGUUCUAUUUUGAAUAUUAUUAUAGGGCUGGGGAUUUAGCUCAGUGGUUCCACCGCCUGCUUUGCAAUUGCAAGGUCCCAAGUUUGAUCCCCAGUACCAAAAGAAAAAAAAAGUUAUACAGUCUACGGCCAUACCACCCUGAAUGCACCCGAUCUUGCCUGACUAUUAUUAUAGGGUUUUUUUCCCUUGCAUUGUUUUUCUCUGAAUAAUUUUAAUUUUUGUAUAUGUGUGUGUUUAGUAAAUGAUAAUAAAGUUAUACCAAAAAAAAAAAGAGUCACAAUGGGCACGUUGGCCCCCGCCUGUGGUUCCAGCCCCCCAGAGGCUGAGCAGGAGGAGCUUGGGUUCUAGGCCAGCCUGGAUGACUUAGAAAAAUCCUAUCUCAAAAGGACUAGAGAUGGAGUUCAGUUGUGGGGUGCUUGUCUAGCUUGUCUUCCGUCCCCAGCACCCCACACACUCACAAAGUCUCAAGAAAGAAACAUGAGCCUGAUGUGGCUAGUCCUGAUUUCUUCAGACUAAAAAUUCUGAGGACAUGAGUUUCAGAAAGACAUUGACCUGACUUGCUGGUGGACUUGGGCUUUGUCCUGGGAGACAGAGGGAUGUCGUGAUCUGCAGUGCUGUGCACUGUACUUCAGCCUCCACCAUCCAGUAGGAAGGUGCUUCUCGUGUCCCUUGUGGUUGCGGGGAGCCAUGUGACUGAGUGGCCAAGGUGACCUGUAAGUGGAGCAACGCGUCACUUCCGGUUGAGUAUUUGCACACAUGGCCCGCUCAGGACUUUCCAGAACAGCCUUCUGCCUGGGUUGGGUCAUUAGCAGUGUCCAAGAUGACAGCUGCU